CUGGAGUGGUACAUAAGGAGAUAUAUGCCUGUGUAGUUGGCUAUGUAGUUUGUUUCAUCAGUAAUGUGUGACUUCUGUUAAACCCCAACUAUAUGUCCUGCCUUACUACAUGACAAUGAUGUGUAAAGCCAAUGGAUACUGUAUUACACACUAACUGGAUACAAGCUAGGAGUGAGAAGGCAACUAUGGGGAAGAUUGCCCAGAUAUAGUGUGUGCUCAUUGUUAGAUUGACCCAUUCAGGCUUUGUAAUAAACUUCAAUCUGUCCCUUUUUGACAAUUUGCAUUAAACAUGUGUACUCCUUUAUCGGAA